UUUCUUCUUCUUCUUCCUCUUCCCCUUGUUGAGCCGCCAACCCCCCCCGGAACUUCUUCUUCUCCAGCAAAUCCUCCUCCGGCGACUGCAUCAUCAUUGGUGGCCUCAGCGAGCGAUGACAUUUCCGGAUCGACGGCGGUGCCUUGUGCGGGACAAGGACGGCGAUUCGUGGUGAGAUUCCAGCGGCCUUACGCCCUUUCGUGACGAACUACGACAUACCCAUGGCGUUCUCCCUUUCGGUGCGGCGGUGUGACCUUCAGGAGCGACGGCGAGCUGUUCUCCGGUAAGUUGCGAGGAGAUCCGAGGAGUUUUACUUCAGAUCCGACAUCCCACGACAACAGUAUCGGACCUCGACGUUUCAGCAGGGCUACGAUGGUGAGAUUUGAGCAGAACCAACACUUGUAGCGGCUGAACAACCAUAUUUCCGGCUCUCUCCGACGCUGUUCUUCUGUGACCAGCGAAGCGAUCCCUCCGCGACCUUGAACAUUCCAGAUUUGUGAAACCCAGCAAGUUUCGUGGUGUUAUUUUUGUUCUAGCGACAAUCGGAGUUGACCCACUCCUUUUCGGACUCGAAUCGGAGUUCCUAUCGUUUUUCAGCGUCGGGCCAGUUAGCACAAGGCAAUUGGAGCUUGGUUUUGGGCGCCUGAACAUCCUCGGCGUCGACCCACUCCAAACCCAAGAGGUUUUAUGGUUAGAUAAUAGGAACCCUUCGACGAGCUUAAUAGUGCUUUGGGACUUUGAGUAUGUAGACGAGGGGCGGGUGCGUGCGUUGAUGCAUAUUAUUUGGUUGCCAUUGUGCUAUUUCAUGAUGUUUAUUAUUAAUUUUGAUAUGCUAUUGUGCAGUGUAACUCCCGUUUGUGUUAGUUUGUAUGCUUGGGUAGUGUUGAAUAUCUGUCGGUGAUAAUAGUGGAAAUUUUGUAUUGUUGAGCUGCUGAGAUUUGUGGUGGAAUGAUGUGUAUUUGUAGGGAAUGCUCGUUAAAGUGGAUUUAUUGUGGGGAUGUUAUUGUCUGAAUUUGGAUGAAUUGUGUUGGGUUCCAA